AAACACUAUGCUGCAUAACUAACAAAAAAAGCAGCCAGUUGACCGUAUUCAGUGAGCCCCCAACUUACAAAUGACUUCUGUUUGGGGAGAAGGUUCGUAAACCAGACUCACUCAUAAAUCUGAUUAAGCGACACAAACGUGGCUUCGUGCUACCCAGCGGUCCCCUCCCCAUCACCAGUGCUUCUCCUUUCCGCUUCCGGACAUCCGGGGCUCUAACUGAGCGCUGAGCUACUCCACAGGAAACACACAGCAGCGCAACUGUUAACGGUGUCCGGCUGGCGAGUGAGCGACUCCUGCACUGUGUUCCCAUCUCUGAGCGUUUGUGACCAGAGGGCGGUUCGUAUCUGUGAGACUUCGCGACUUGAAUGUUGGGUUUUGGAAGGUGACUAGAUCACAAAAGUGCUACACUCAUCGGUGGACUGAGCUACUGAAGAAUCCACAGCUGAAUGCACUGUUAGGAGAUGAGGCCCUGUGUGAAGAGGGGGCCACUGAGAGUGUGACCCAGAUGGUCUAUCUCCUUCCCAAGUUCCUUCUUCUCUCUCCGAUUCCUGGCCACUGUGCUAUGAACAGCUCUCCUCCACCCAGGCCCGUCCGCCACGCUCUUCCUGCCUUGGGGCCAGCUGAUGGUAGCCUGAAUCCUCUGAAAGAGUCUCCUGCACAGGUGACUGCAAAGCUGGAAGCUGACAAGGAUGUAAGCUCACCUGCUUGUCAAAACUCUGCUAAUGGAAACUGCUAUCUGGAACAUUGCUUCUUGAGGCUGUUUGCUCUCACCUGGAAUGCAAGAUGGAGUGCCAGGAGUUAGGAAGACAUUUGUAAUGAUUGACUUGUAAGCUUUACCCCAGAGAAUCUGGAGGUGAGCAAAUUUAUACAUUUAAUCACUCAUUUAUGUAAACCAUUUUAAUUAAAUACAAACAA